rnacentral:rRNA from 1 species
UCCCUACGGGGGGCAGCAGUGGGGAAUAUUGCACAAUGGGGGAAACCCUGAUGCAGCAACGCCGCGUGAGUGAAGAAGGUUUUCGGAUUGUAAAGCUCUGUUAGCAGGGAAGAGGAAGGACGGUACCUGCAGAGGAAGCCACGGCUAACUACGUGCCAGCAGCCGCGGUAAUACGGAGGAUGCGAGCGUUAUCCGGAUUUAUUGGGUUUAAAGGGUGCGCAGGCGGAGGUGCAAGUCAGCGGUCAAAUUGCGGGGCUCAACCCCGUACUGCCGUUGAAACUGCAUCCCUUGAGUGCGCGAGAAGU